AAGAAACCCUGCGCAAAGCGCGAAGUUUCCUCCGAGGCGUGCGCCCGGUAGUUGAAUGGGCGGGGGGAUAGGUGCCGAAGGUAUGGAUGGUGAUUGGGAUG
rnacentral:rRNA from 1 species